UACGGGGGGGGCAAGCGUUGUUCGGAAUUACUGGGCGUAAAGGGCUCGUAGGUGGCCAACUAAGUCAGACGUGAAAUCCCUCGGCUUAACCGGGGAACUGCGUCUGAUACUGGAUGGCUUGAGUUUGGGAGAGGGACGCGGAAUUUCAGGUGUAGCGGUGAAAUGCGUAGAUAUCUGGAGGAACACCGGUGGCGAAGGCGGCGUCCUGGACCAACACUGACACUGAUGAGCGAAAGCCAGGGGAGCAAACGGG
rnacentral:rRNA from 1 species